rnacentral:lncRNA from 1 species
UGGGCAUGUCUGAUGCCUGCUUCAGAGGGUAGGGAUAAGCUGCAAAGACCCCAAGAAAACACCUUUAUUCUUCCCACCUGCCUCAAGACAGUUCUCAGUGAUCACCUUGUGAAGAAAAUAACUUUUGAAGUCCCCCUUCUCUCAGCAUCUCUCAGCUGCAUGGCAAUGAUCUCGAUCUUUCCCGUCACUCUUCCUUCAGAGAGAUCCUGCUGUACUGGGAAUCCAGGAAGUCCUCAAAAUGAAUAGUGCUCUGAUAAAGGAUCUCCUAAUCAGCUUGAAGGACAUUCUAUUAGACAAACUCAACACAGUUAAAGCAUUUCCCCAAAACAUGAUGAUCACAAAUGAUGGAAACAAACAAAC